rnacentral:rRNA from 1 species
GACAGAGGGUGCAAACGUUGUUCGGAAUUACUGGGCGUAAAGCGUGUGUAGGCGGCUAGAAAAGUCGGAUGUGAAAGCCCCGGGCUCAACCCGGGAAGUGCACCCGAUACUGUCUAGCUAGAGUAUCGGAGAGGUUGGUGGAAUUCUCGGUGUAGAGGUGAAAUUCGUAGAUAUCGAGAGGAACACCGGUGGCGAAGGCGGCCAACUGGACGAAUACUGACGCUGAGACACGAAAGCGUGGGGAGCAAACAGG